GAUGAACGCUGGCGGCGUGCCUAAUACAUGCAAGUCGAGCGAACAGAUGAGGAGCUUGCUCCUCUGACGUUAGCGGCGGACGGGUGAGUAACACGUGGAUAACCUACCUAUAAGACUGGGAUAACUUCGGGAAACCGGAGCUAAUACCGGAUAAUAUAUUGAACCGCAUGGUUCAAUAGUGAAAGACGGUUUUGCUGUCACUUAUAGAUGGAUCCGCGCCGCAUUAGCUAGUUGGUAAGGUAACGGCUUACCAAGGCAACGAUGCGUAGCCGACCUGAGAGGGUGAUCGGCCACACUGGAACUGAGAAACGGUCCAGACUCCUACGGGAGGCAGCAGUAGGGAAUCUUCCGCAAUGGGCGAAAGCGUGACGGAGCAACGCCGCGUGAGUGAUGAAGGUCUUCGGAUCGUAAAACUCUGUUAUUAGGGAAGAACAAAUGUGUAAGUAACUAUGCACGUCUUGACGGUACCUAAUCAGAAAGCCACGGCUAACUACGUG
rnacentral:rRNA from 1 species